UAGGAAAAUAAUCCAAGUGUCCUGGGGGU
rnacentral:piRNA from 1 species